GAACCUUGUAGAGAUACGAGGGUGCCUUCGGGAACUGUGAGACAGGUGCUGCAUGGCUGUCGUCAGCUCGUGUUGUGAAAUGUUGGGUUAAGUCCCGCAACGAGCGCAACCCUUAUCCUUUGUUGCCAGCGGUCCGGCCGGGAACUCAAAGGAGACUGCCAGUGAUAAACUGGAGGAAGGUGGGGAUGACGUCAAGUCAUCAUGGCCCUUACGACCAGGGCUACACACGUGCUACAAUGGCGCAUACAAAGAGAAGCGACCUCGCGAGAGCAAGCGGACCUCAUAAAGUGCGUCGUAGUCCGGAUUGGAGUCUGCAACUCGACUCCAUGAAGUCGGAAUCGCUAGUAAUCGUGGAUCAGAAUGCCACGGUGAAUACGUUCCCGGGCCUUGUACACACCGCCCGUCACACCAUGGGAGUGGGUUGCAAAAGAAGUAGGUAGCUUAACCUUCGGGAGGGCGCUUACCACUUUGUGAUUCAUGACUGGGGUGAAGUCGUAACAAGGUAACCGUAGGGGAACCUGCGGUUGGAUCACCUCCUUA
rnacentral:rRNA from 1 species